rnacentral:misc_RNA from 1 species
GUGAAUCAUCGAAUCUUUGAACGCAAAUUGCACUCUCUGGGAUUCCGGAGGGGAUGCCUGUUUUAUGGUCAGUUUAAAUAAAAGUCGGUGUGGUUGCUGCCUUUCGUUGUGACUCACCGGAUUUGGAUCUGCUUGCCUUCGGUUAAGUGACUUAAAAUUUGGCAUUAUUUUUUUCUAACGUAUUUAAAUUAUUUUACGUACGUUUGCGAUAUCGAAUACUAUUUAUGGUCAUCCUCUUGAUUCGCGCCUAUAGUUUUUCAUCAAAAUG